AGGCGGAAUACAUUGAAACGGCAUCUGGUAACAAAGUGAGCAGGCAGUCGGUGCUCUGCGGCAGUCAGAACAUCGUCCUCAACGGCAAAACUAUAGUAAUGAAUGACUGUAUAAUCCCUGGAGACCUGGUCAAUGUCAGGGUGGGGAGGCACUGUGUUGUGAAGAGCCGGAGUGUCAUUCUCUCUCCCUCUGUUCGUCCCCUCCAGACUAUAAUAAUGAAUGACUGUAUAAUCCCUGGAGACCUGGUCAAUGUCAGGGUGGGGAGGCACUGUGUUGUGAAGAGCCGGAGUGUCAUUCUCCCUCCCUCUGUUCGUCCC